CUCCUAGAUAUAUAUUUUUUAAAUAAAUUCAUUGUCUACAAAUAAUAUGAUGUAUACUUUUUCCAUUAAUUAAAAUAAUUUUUGAGGUAUAUAAAAAAAACGAAAAUACACCCUCUUAAAAGAAAUUUCAACCCUCUUGAGGCGUCUUAGGGUUGCACUAUCGUUAUAAAAUUACACAGAUAUUAUUUUUUAUGGUUUAGUUUCAAAUUCGAAGGUGGCGCAGUUGAAAUGUUGAUCUUCAAUUUUAAGGACCACCC